CUACGGGUGGCAGCAGUGAGGAAUAUUGCACAAUGGGGGAAACCCUGAUGCAGCAACGCCGCGUGGAGGAUGACGCAUUUCGGUGUGUAAACUCCUUUUAUCAGAGAAGAAAAUGACGGUAUCUGAUGAAUAAGCUCCGGCUAACUCCGUGCCAGCAGCCGCGGUAAUACGGAGGGAGCAAGCGUUAUUCGGAAUCACUGGGCGUAAAGGACGCGUAGGCGGGUUUUUAAGUCAGGUGUGAAAUCCUAUGGCUCAACCAUAGAACUGCACUUGAAACUGGGGACCUAGAGUAUGGAAGGGGCAGGUGGAAUUAGUGGUGUAGGGGUAAAAUCCGUAGAUAUCACUAGGAAUACCGAAAGCGAAGGCGACCUGCUGGGACAUUACUGACGCUGAGGCGUGAAAGCGUGGGGAGCAAACAGGAUUAGAUACCCGCGUAGUC
rnacentral:rRNA from 1 species